rnacentral:lncRNA from 1 species
UUAGUAGUGUCUUUCUUAUGUACCUCAUAUCUAGACUUUCAAUGGAGAGUUCUUCAUCUAAAAAUUUGACUUGGGUUUUCAUACUAGUUUUGGUUUAGACAUGUGGAUGCAAAGGUUGCAUCAAAGAAGAGAAGUAGGCUAAAUCAUCUUACAAAUUUUAUAGUUCAAAUUAGAUGCACCAAACAUAUGUAACAUAUUUGAUAUAACUAAUAUUUUCUUAAGUAAUUGAAUACAAUUUUUUUUUUUCAUAAAUUUACUUGAUUAUUAAUGAAUAACUACAUGUAUGGUAUUGACACAACAUGAUAAAUCUUUUAAAAUAGUAUUAGAAUAACUUUGCUAAAAAAAAGUAAAAAUAAAAAUAAAAAUACAUCUAUAUAUAUAAAAUUAAAUAAAAUUAAAAAUUAAAAAAGAAUAUAUAUUCUCUGUGUGUGUGUGUGUGUGUGCAUGGUCCCACAACUCAUUAGUUACUCAUAAGCUUUAUAUCACUUUCUCAAAGUCAAGUCAUUUUGUAAUUAUUUCUAUCUAGCCUUCUCCAUUACGACAAUUGUAUAGGAUAUUGAUUGGUUGGAAAAAUCUUCAUGUCUUUUUUUAUAAGAUAGUUUUUUUUUAUUAUUAUUAUUCAAAGAAUUUGCUUUUAUUAUUGAAACUUUCAAAUCCUUUAUGUCUAGUGGUCCUACAAUUCCCUAUUCAUUGGUAUUUCAUAUUACCAAUCAUUUUACAAAUAAGUUUAUUUCACCCAGUAAAUAUACUUAACUACCAAUGGUUUCAAAUUUAAUUGAUUAACACACUUAUAGAUGUAAUUUGUUUUUAAAUUUUAUUUUUUUAGAAGAAUUGUAGGUAAAAAUGUUUUAGGAAUAUGUGUUCAAUAAUUCUCUAAAAAAAAUUUAUAUAGAUGGAAUACAUUCAUGUAAGUUCCAACUAAUGAAAUUUAAAACCAAUGACAAUUUAAUGUAUUUGCACUAAAUCUUAGGGGAGGUGUACUAAAACUAACCCUUUUACAAAUAUUUGUAGCUAGUAUAUUUGUAGUUAUGGUGUUGGAAGUUGAUCAUUUUCUUAAAGGCCUCUAAGAUAUUGGAAAUAUCGCCAAAGUUUUGAACUUUUUGUUUCACCUAAAAAAAAUAUCAUUAAUUUAAUAUAUAUACUCUUCACUUGAAAGUAUAGUUUCUUCAUAUUGUAUGAAGUUGUAACUAGGUGACAAUAUUAGGUGAAAUUUUUUUGGUUUACUACAAAAUAUAAAUAAUAUAUUUAUUAUAUGAUAAAAUUUUGUAAAAUAUAUUAUUAUAGAUGCAAAAUUAUUAAUGGAGUUUUAUUUUUUACUAAAUUAUCAUUUCAAUAAAUAAGAACUUAUUUGUUAAAAGAAAAUUAUAAAAUUUAUGCAAUUGAAAAAAAUUUAAUUUUUUUUAUUUAAUUUGGUAUUUUAUUUGAAUUAAUAAUUGAUAUUUGUAAGAUCUUUUAAUAUUAAAAGAAGUUAACAUACUUAAAAAAGACAUUCAAAAUCAAGAGAGUAUUUGAUAUGAAAUUAAUUAAUUAAUUUUUUCUAUUUAAAUAAAUUUUUACAUCCAUUAAUAAAAUUUUAUUGUUUAUUUUUCACUUCAAUAUUUUUAUUUUGUAAAAUAAAUAGAAAUAAAAUCAACAAAUUAAACAAUUGAAUUAAGUUAGUUUAAUUUUUCCACCUUUAAAUUGGUAAAUGAAGACUCUUAUAUUUGAUAUUAACAGGAACAUCAUGACUUCAUUGAAUCUCACAAGAAAAUUUUAGUUUGAAAGAUUUUAUCCUUUAAACAUGUGGCGCAUAUUAAAGUGAGACCAAGUCUUCCCUAUAAUUUGUAUCUAUCACAAUUUCUUUCCUAAUGAAUAGCCUUUUUGAAUAGAAUAUAGACUUUAGCAUGCAUGGUGGGGCCUAGCUAUCAAACUACUAGUCAAAACAACUCAUGGGCAAGAAUGAUGUACCAACUAGAUUAAGUAUUCUCCAUCUAUUUGCAUAUCAAGAGUAAUUUAGUAGUAUCUUUCUUGUGUAACUCAUUUCUAGACUUUCAAUGGAGAGUUUUUUAUCUUAAAAUUUGACGUGGGUUUUCAUACUAGUCUUGGUUCAAAUAUGUGAAUGCAAAGGUUGCAUCAAAGAAGAGAAGUAGGCUAGGUCAUCUUACAAAUUUUCAAGUUCAAAUUAGAUGCAUCAAACAUGUGCAAACAUAUUUGAUAUAACUAAUAUUUUACCAAGCAACUAAAUACUUUAUAUAUAUAUAUAUAUAUAUAUAUAUAUAUAUUUAUUGAUGAUCAAUGAAUACCUACAUGUAUGGUAUUGACACAGUUUGAUAAAUCUUUUAAAAUAGUAUUAGAAUAACUUUGCUAAAAAAAGUAAAAAUAAAAACAAAAAUACAUAUAUAUAUAUAUAUAUAUAUAUAUAUAUAUAUAUAUAUAUAUAUAUAUAUAUAUAUAUAAACAAAAUAAAAAAUUUAAAAAGAAUAUAUAUAUUAGUGGUCUCACAACUCAUUAGCUACUCAUUUUCUUAAAGUCAAAUCAUUUACAAUUAUUUCUAUAUAGCCUUCUCCAUUGCGACAACUGUACAAUAUAUUAAUUGAUUGAAAAAAUCAUCAUGUCUUUUUUGAUAGGAUAGUUUUUUUUUUAUUCAAAGAACUUUCAAAUUCUUUAUGUCUAGUGGUCCUACAAUUCCCUAUUCAUUGGUAUUUCAUAUUACCAACCAUUUUACAAAUAAGUUAAUUUCACUCGAUAAAUAUACUUAACCACCAAUGGUUUCCAAUUUGUAGCAUUCUUAUAGAUGUAGUUUGUUUUUAAAUUUUUUUUUUUAGAAGAAUUGUAGGUAAAAAUAUUUUAGCUAUAUAUGUUCAACAAUUCUCUAAAAACAAUUUAUAUAGAUGGAAUACGUUCAUGGAAGUUCCAACUAAUGAAAUUUAAAACCAAUGAUGAUUUAAUGUAUUUGUACUAAAUCUUAGGGAGUGUGGACUAAAAUUAGCCCUUUUACAAAUAUUUAUAACUAGUAUAUUUGUAGUUGUGGUAUUGGAAGUUGAUCAUUUUCUUAAAAGGUUUACCAUUGAAGUUAGUUGAAUAUAAAGUUAGGUGAACUUUACCAUUGUUAAAUUGGUAAAUGAAGACUCUUAGAUUUGAUACUAACAUGUACAUCAUGACUUCAUUGAAUCUCUCACAAGGAAAUUUUAGUUUAAAAGACUUCAUCUUUUAAACAUGUGGCACAUAUUAAAGUGAGACCAAGUCUUCCCUAUAAUUUGUAUCUAUCACAAUUUCUUUCCUCAUAAAUAGACUUUUUGAAUAGAAUUAAUAUAGACUUUAGCAUGCAUGAUGGGCCCUAUCAAACUAUUAGUCAAGAUAAUUUGUAGGUAAGAACAAUGGACCAACUAUAUUAAAUACUCUUCAUCUAUUUGCAUAUCAAGAGCAACUUAAUAUUGUCUUUCUUUUGUACUUCAUGUUUGAACUUUCAAUGGAGAGUUUGUCAUCUAAAUAUUUGAUGUGGGUUUUUAUACUACUCUUGGUUCAAAUAUGUGGAUGCAAAGGUUGCAUCGAAGAAGAGAAGAUGGGUUUGCUUGAAUUCAAGGCUUUUCUUAAAUUGAAUAAUGAGCAUGCAGAUUUUCUUCUCCCUUCAUGGAUAGAUAACAACACUAGUGAAUGUUGUAAUUGGGAGCGGGUUAUUUGCAAUCCCACCACAGGUCGAGUUAAGAAGCUUUUCUUCAAUGAUAUAACGCGACAACACUUGGAAGACAAUUGGUACUAUUACGAAAAUGUCAAAUUCUGGUUACUAAAUGUCUCCUUAUUCCUUCCUUUUNNNNNNNNNNNNNNNNNNNNNNNNNNNNNNNNNNNNNNNNNNNNNNNNNNNNNNNNNNNNNNNNNNNNNNNNNNNNNNNNNNNNNNNNNNNNNNNNNNNNACAAAUAUUUAUAACUAGUAUAUUUGUAGUUGUGGUAUUGGAAGUUGAUCAUUUUCUUAAAAGGUUUACCAUUGAAGUUAGUUGAAUAUAAAGUUAGGUGAACUUUACCAUUGUUAAAUUGGUAAAUGAAGACUCUUAGAUUUGAUACUAACAUGUACAUCAUGACUUCAUUGAAUCUCUCACAAGGAAAUUUUAGUUUGAAAGACUUCAUCUUUUAAACAUGUGGCACAUAUUAAAGUGAGACCAAGUCUUCCCUAUAAUUUGUAUCUAUCACAAUUUCUUUCCUCAUAAAUAGCCUUUUUGAAUAGAAUUAAUAUAGACUUUAGCAUGCAUGAUGGGCCCUAUCAAACUAUUAGUCAAGAUAAUUUGUAGGUAAGAACGAUGGACCAACUAUAUUAAAUACUCUUCAUCUAUUUGCAUAUCAAGAGCAACUUAAUAUUGUCUUUCUUUUGUACUUCAUGUUUGAACUUUCAAUGGAGAGUUUGUCAUCUAAAUAUUUGAUGUGGGUUUUUAUACUACUCUUGGUUCAAAUAUGUGGAUGCAAAGGUUGCAUCGAAGAAGAGAAGAUGGGUUUGCUUGAAUUCAAGGCUUUUCUUAAAUUGAAUAAUGAGCAUGCAGAUUUUCUUCUCCCUUCAUGGAUAGAUAACAACACUAGUGAAUGUUGUAAUUGGGAGCGGGUUAUUUGCAAUCCCACCACAGGUCGAGUUAAGAAGCUUUUCUUCAAUGAUAUAACGCGACAACAAAAUUUCUUGGAAGACAAUUGGUACUAUUAUGAAAAUGUCAAAUUCUGGUUACUAAAUGUCUCCCUAUUCCUUCCUUUUGAAGAACUUCACCAUCUAAACUUGUCUGCAAACUCAUU